GGGACAGAUGGACGGACUGAUGAACGGACGAACAGACGAGAAAACAUAAUGCCCAUAAAUGGGGCAUAAAAACAAUUAAAGUUUAGUCAUGAGGUACAAUCAGUGAGAUAUAUGUUACACUAUAAAAUACAAAACAAGUUUUUGUUAUCAAAUCAAUAUACAUAUCACAUUAGCUUUAUAGUAGCAGUCUUUAUAAAUACAUCACAUAUAAACACUGGCCUUAUACUAUGUUCAUAACCAUUAUAACAUCAUGACGGCUUCAAAUUCC
rnacentral:lncRNA from 1 species